CCAUAAACUCAAAUCUGGAAACCCUUACUUAUAAAGAUUCGUCGCGAACGGCGGCUGACCGGAAGAUCAGCUUAAGCGACGGCGACUUCUAUCGUUCUUUUGCACGAUGUUUCGUAGGAACCGGUUUCUGUCUUUACCGAUGGUGAUCGGAGCAGUUGUGAUUGGAGUGGUUUCAGGGAAAGCAAUAUUUGGGCCUCCGCUUGAUCAAUACUGGAAGGAGAAGCUUGAAGGAGAAGAAGCUGUUGUUGCUGCAAAGGAAGCCGCCACUGAAAAGAGCUCUGAUUCUUCAUAAUCUCCCUAAAAUAUUUUUGGGAUGUUUAAUGUAAAUCUCCGACCUUAACUAAGAAGAGCUUGGACAAAUGUUUGCAAGGAAGCACAAUGUUUGUUUACUGUAGGAGGCGAUGCGAUUCAUACAAACAAUAUGUAACAAUGUAGUAAGUGCCUUGUAUUUCACGUUUUUGCAAACUCAAGGAGAAUAAUAAAACCCUAAGAAGCACAUCCUUCCUUAAUCUU